GUCAAAAAUAUUUUUCAGAAAUUUUCUGGAUUUUAAAAUUUGUAGUGAUUUUUUUUUACCUGCAAUUUAAUUUGUACUUAUGGAACCUAUGGGCAUAAAACAUAACUGAGAGAAGAUAUGGCAUGACUGGGAAGGAAGAAAGCUUCACAGAAGAGGUGGUUGUAAAAAGAUUAGUUAGGAAGGAUAUUCCAAAUCAAAGAAACAGUGUUGGAGGAAAUUUAACACCCAUUCAUGACAAAAUUCUUAGCUAACCUAGGUGUACAAAGGAAUUUCCUUGAUUUGAUAAAGAGUAACCCUACAGUUACUCUUUUUAACAGUGAAACACCAAAUACCUUCCCACUAAAAUCAAGGACAAAAGAAUUUCUAAUUCUUAUUCAAUUUCUAAUUUUUAUACCUCGUAAGAAAAAGAAAGACAAAGAUAAGUAGUAAAACUAUCCCUAUUUACAAUUGACAUGAAUGUUUAUAUAAAACAGUAGUUAUCAUAAAAAAAUGUUAGUUACAAAGGGGAAAAACAGAAGCUUAAAGAGUGAAGAAGCCUGAUAAACACCAUCUUACUCAAAUUUCCAAAAAUAGUAUUACCAAUAACAGGACAGUUUGAAAUCAGAAUCACCUGGUAGCCUGUAUGAGAAGAACAUAUUACCACCUCUGUGACAAUCCUGUCAAAGAUUGAUAACCUGAAUUUAAUCAUGGGGGAACAUUUUUAAAAGCCAAAUUGAAUGGUACUCUACAAAAUAAUUGCUGUUAUUUUUAGAAUUAUCAAGGUCAUGAAAACUAAGGAAAGACUAAAGAACUACUAAGGGACCAAAAUGUAUACCAGAUUGGAGG
rnacentral:lncRNA from 1 species